AUGGUAGAGGAGAAGAGGGAGAGGGCGGAGGAGGUGUCCGACAGCCCGCAGAAAUCUCCGCGCCUGGACCCGCUGGCUGCGGCCGUGGCAGGUCCUGAAUGCAGCGACGCGCCUGCGUCUCCGACGGAGUCGAGCGACGAGUGGCCAUCGUCCGGGGAAUCGGAAGCGGGGACCAGCAGCGACAGUACCGGCGACGGCGGGCGGUGCGAGCACAUACGCUUGGACCGCGAACUCCUGGAUAUGCACGUGUAUUAUCUCACGGAGCAGCGGGCGGUGCUCCGGACGUGCCAUCUUAGUAAGUGCAAGACGACCUGCAAGGGCAACGAAGGGAUGAUGAAGUGCAUAGACUGCUCCAGAUUCUUCUGCUCUGGGUGGCCGGUGAACAGGGAAAGUCCGCAGGAACAUGCCCUCUGGCACGCCGGCGAGAACACGCAUUGGGUUGCUCAGUGGUGCGAUGAACCGAAUUUGGGAUACUGCUUCUUGUGUGCGCGCGGUAUGAGGCUCAGUGACCGGAGCGAAGAUGACUAUGCAGUGGCGGCCAGAAACAAAAAGGAUCAGCAAGGACUGGGGGAUAGCGUUGCAAAGGAUGGGUGCGAGACGGGGGGCAAGAACCCGCAGAACCCUGAGAACCUGGACCUGCCUGCGUCCAAGGCACCUGUGUUGUUGAGCGAGUCGCCAUCGACGGGGGAAGCGGAGGAGACCAGCGACUGCACAUACGACAUUGGGUCGUGCGAGCACUUGUUCAAGGACAGGGAGGAGCUGGAUGAUAUGGUGCUUGAUAUCAAGACCGCCGAGAAGCUCCCAGAGUGCGAGCAUUUCCUGUGCACGACCACCUGCACCUGGAGGGGAGCUGCUGCUAGGUUCAUGGUGUGCACGGAGUGCACCUCUACUUUCUGCACCGGGGAGAAGGGGGGCAUGGAAAAUCCGCAGGGACACGCCCGCUUGCACGCCACCAGGGACUACCAUUGGGUUGCUCUGUGGUACGAUGAACCGUAUAAGGGCUACUGCUUCGAGUGUGGGCACGUUCUGAAGCUCGGUCAGGACAAGCUGAGCGAUGAUGAGUGGGCAGCUCUGGCCAGAAAUAAAAGGGUUGAGCGGGCAAUGUUGGCCAGCAAUGGAUGGGAUGUGUGGGGAAUGGUGCCCGAGAGUUAUGCAAAGGAUUUGUGGGCAAUAGUGACCGGCAAUGAUUCGUCUGGGUAUGCUAAUGGGAAUGGCUGUGUUAUCAGAGGGUUGCCGAAUCUUGGAAACACAUGCUACAUGAAUGCACUGCUUCAGUGCCUCCUUGCGCUCGGUGAGCUGAGGACAACGAUUUUAGGACCGGGUGCUCGGCUGGGGAGCAUUGGUCUGCACCUGAAGCAAUUAUUUGUGGAGACAAGCAGCACAAAUGAUGCCAGGCACGCGCUGGAUCCAGAGAUGCUAUUGGAAUGUAUGCGGGUGUUUAAUCCACAGUUCAAGGGCUCUUAUAUGCAGGACAGCCAAGAAUUUCUUACAUCUUUGCGCACUGCUUUGGAGGAGGAGACGAAGAACCUAAACAAAUUUCAUGGGGGUGCAGAGUUUCGUCCAAUUGGCAAUUCCAUUUUCGGGGGCUGGCUGCGUCAGACCUUAUACUGCAUAAGUUGCUCAACUAAAUCAGUUUUGGAUCUGCAAUUCGAGGAGCUCCAACUGGCACUGCCAUCAAAGGAUUGUCCAGCCAGAAGUGUUACGUUACCACCAAUGGCCAGAAGCGGUGGAUCUCCGACGAAGACUCGUAAGGCACUAUUCCAACAAACCGACAUGACUGAUGGAGAAAAGAUUCAAACAAUUGCUGAAGGCUGUGAUUCUCAGUUUCCUGGUUCUGAAUUUGGAGAUGAGGCCAUGGAGAAAAUACCCAAGCCUUCACAAGUUGAUUCUACUAAAGUGGAGGAUGUUGCACACGGCCGUUUGCAGACUCAGAAGAAUGAUGUCCCACGAGAGAUCAUUGAAGUGCCAAUAAAAGCUCUUGAUUUCAUUCCUAACUUGUUUGAUGACACUGAAGGAAUGGAUGAAUCAAUAGUAGAUCCUCACAGUCCAAAAGAUACUGGUCCACCUCCACUUGUUGACAUAGAAGCCAAGGAGAACACUUACUCAGUAGAACCUACUACAGAAGACAAGGGGAGAGCUCAAAUCAGUGAUAUUACUGAUGACGAGGCAGUACAUAUGAACUCUGUUGCAUCGCUCGAGGACUGCUUGACACUUCUUUGCUAUUGUCCAAUGGGAUGGAAAUGCGGUAACUGUUCCAAGGUUGUUGAGCUGCCGAGAACAAAUGGAAGUGAAAAUGGUGAACCGAUGAUAGCAAGUACCAAUGCAAAUCCAACAGUUGAAGGAGACCAGACUGAACUAUCAGACAGGAAAACAUGCCCAAGUGAGCGAUCUAAUGAUUUGAAUAGCUUGUCGGUAGAAUGUAAUUCUCCAAGUAGACAACCACAUGGUUCAGAUGCACAUCAUCAAGUUAUUCUUUCUGAGAACAGAGUUUGUGAAGAAAUCACUUCAGGGAUGAGCUAUGAUGAAAAGAACUCGGCCUCUUGCUGCACUACCAAUAGAAAACCUGAAAGUCAGGAAGGUGUUCAGGAAGCUGCACCUAGUUCCUUUCCAACUCAUAAACAGACUGACCUGUUGAGUACCCAGGGUAAUCAGGAUACCAGCAAAGGCACUGGGAAGCAGGUAAAGCUGGAUGAUCAUAGUGCACAACAAGCGGAAGAAAACCAAAGUGAGCAGAAACAUGGGACUGGUGGUUUUCAAAUACAAUUGGUUACUAAGCUGCCACCUGUACUAACCAUUCAACUGAAGCGAUUCACCAAUGCUCUUUCUAAAACGAGAGGACAUGUGAGCUUUAAGGAGAUUCUUCAUGUAGAACCGUUCAUGGACCCCAGUUCCGAGGACAAAGGUAACUCCAGCUAUCGCCUAGUCGGUGUCAUUGUGCACCAUGGCCACGCCUUGAAUGUAGGGCACUACGUUGCUUAUGUGAGGGCAGGUCGCAAGGAGCAGAGCAGUGGUUCUUCCUUAUGGGUUUGCGCAACCGAUCGCGACAUCAAGGAAGUUCCCCUAGAAGAAGUUCUCGGGUGUGAGGCGUACAUGCUUUUCUAUGAGAGGAUGGAUGACCGAGGCAUAUCUGGGAGCCUACCCACCAACUAA
rnacentral:rRNA from 1 species